UACCCUCACAGAAUGAAAGAAAAAAAAAAGAAAAAAAAGAAACAAAAAAAAAAGGAUCAAAAAUCUUU
rnacentral:ribozyme from 12 species